UUUAAUUUUUUUUUUCUCUUUAUUGUGAAAUGAAAAUCUCUUGACAAUAAGGCUUAUUUUGAUUUUACCUGGUAAUUUGUCAAAUAUUCUUCCUAUGGAAAGAAAUUAUUAGACACUUAUAACUUCUGAUAUAAACCAUUUACGAAUCGAUGAAAUAAUAAGAAAAAUAUUUUGCUUAAACAAAUAACUGCUGUAACAUAAAAACCGAGAUGAUUUGAGAAAGUGUCUAAUUUUGUGAAUGAGUGCUGAUCGUAGUGCUGUGUAUAUAAGGCCAGUUGAGAUUACUAUUGUACAUAUGUAUAUAAUGUAAAUAUUAGAAUUGUCUUAUUUAUUACUGAUGUAGUCAGAUCUCAUGGGAAGAGUUACUAUAAAGCUCAGGCAUGGUUUACUCAGUAGUGAGUUCUCCAUGAUAAAUCCAGUCUUUCAUGCUGUCAAAGAGAGUCAUUCUUUUACAUGGUGCCAAGUCAAAUGUUGGUUCACAAAUAACAUUUGUAUUAUCCCAUGGAAAUUAACUCCAAAAAUAUUUAGUUUGACAGUCAGCAUUUGUUUUUAUCUUUGAUGAAUCGUUGUUAGAGAAUGAACUAUUUCUAUAGGGAAUAAUUAUUUUCCGUUCUAGUGGGUGAAAAAUAUUUUGAUUGAAAUUUGUUUGUGCAUGGUCGUAUGUUUGUUAUGAAUGAAUAUUGUUUUUUCACCUGCUAGAAAUAUUAAAAUAAAGAAAAUAUCUUGAUCAAUUCAUUCUUACCUUAUAAUUUGAAAGUGUAAAAUGAUCAAUUAUGUUUAUCAACAGAUACCAAAAUAUCUAUAAUAAAGGUAUAGAUUAUUAUAUAAAAAUUGCAAAAUUUAUUUUAAAAAAUAAACUGAAAAAUUGAAAAAGAUUUGAAUAUUGACAAAAAAAAGGGAAAAAAAAACUUUAGAAAAAAGAUCUUUUGAAUAUGCAAUGCUAAAUUAUAAUUAUAAUGGUAAGAAUGAAUCUUGAUUAAAUACAGGAACAUCACCAGAGAGUUGAAGUUUUAUAUAUUAGUUCUGAAAACAUCUACCAUUUGUAUGUAUACAUUAGUUUCUCUUCCGGUAUCAUAUCAUAUUAAGUUUGCUUUGGCGUUGCUUGGUAGAGAACUCUUUAGGUGACAUGCUGGACCUAAAGUUUGUAUACCUGUUACUGGUUCCUGUUCUAGUUUUAAUAUAUAAGGCAUCAACAUCAGAUGAUGAUUUCCAUACUGGUUCCCUGUGCUUUUGUGAUAACUUUGUUAUGUUUCCUAUGGGCUUGUGUUACUUCUGGUUACCAUUCAGGAGUUACAUAUGACCAUUGUUAACAUGUAGAGUUUUUCCCCUUAGGUGACAUGCUGGAUCUGAGGAAAGCACAGGAAUUCAGAAAUAACCACAAGUCUAAUUAGUUGUACAUUUUUAUUAAGUAUUUAUGAGGUGAAGUAGGUACCAGAAGGAAGCAAUAUGUGCACACCAAAUCUCAUAAAUCUCAUUUGAGAUCUUUUUGCAAUAUUCAGUUCAGGAUUACUGUUAUGGAAAAAAAAUAAGAUUUCAAAUAUAUGACUUAAAUUGAAAUGAAAAUAAAAUAGAUCUCAGCUAUAUGUAAGAAAAGUUAUUUUAAUAUGUACAUUCUUAACAACUCUGCCCUUUUACUAUUGUUCCUUCACUUCAUUCAAUGUAAGAAAUUUAAAUUAGAAAAUAAUGAAAAUUCAAAAAUGUUCCCAUGAAAUUACAUAUUAGAUUUUCAGAAAUUAAAAAGAAUCAACAAAUGAAAUAGUUUAUUAUAAGUAUUUGUAAAAGAUAAAAGAUACUUGUGAUUCUCUUAUAUUGUUUAAAGUGUUUAAAUUUAUAAGUCAUAUCAGGAUAAGAAAAUUAAAAAUAAGCAUUACUAAUUUUAGAUACAUGUGUAUCUUAAAAAUGUAGUAGUGCAGGAGUUAUCAAGUUAUGUGUUGAUAUUUAUGCUUUUGAGAAAACUCUGAAAUGUUCCUAUUAACAUUUAUUUCUUCUGAUAUUGAGAGGAAACAAAUGAGUUUUGGCAAACAUACAGAGUUAUUCCCCUUAGAUGACAUGUUGGAUUUAAGGAAAACAUAAUAAAUCAUGAGAACAAAUCAGCAAAAAUUAGUGUGAUAGCAAAAUAUGAGCUUGAAUGCAAUAUGCUGUGGAUUCAUUUAUUUUCGUGGGUAUCAGUUUUCGUGGAUUGCUGAAAACUUGCAUAUUCGUGGAUAUUUGAUUUUGUGGUUUUACCAAUCUCUGUAUACAAAGCUUAUUGAAAAUAUCAUAACAUUUGAAUUCAUGGUUCACUUGUAAUUGGUAACCAACAUAUAUUAAUGAAUCCACAGUAGGGAUUUUGUUCAUGUUGAACAAAUAUAUUAUUGUUGUACAAGCCAAACGUUUUACCCAUAUUUCACAUCAAAUUUGUCAAAUUAAUAUGUAUAUUACAUAUAUAUUUAUAAGAUGUUAGGUAAAUGUCCCUUUUUCCAGUUUUUUUUAGCUUUUAUAAAUACUACAGUCAAAUAUUGAUGAUUAACAGUACCAAAUCUUCACAUUGACUUCAAAAAGUCAUUAAUAUAUAGAAUAUAUAUCUAAAAAUAUAAUAAAAUAAAGUAAUUUAUAUUUUAUUACCUGUAUUUGUUCACUUUAAGAACAGCUCAAGUAUCCAUCCUUUUAUUUUCAAGUCCCUAAGUUUGAGAUCCAUCCUUAGUUAUAGUAAAUGUCAUAUUUACCAUUACAUACAUUUUCUAGUUUAUGUGCAAUUAAAACACUCAUGAGAUAUGAUAAGAAUGUACAAAUGAUUCUCAGAAACCAGUGUGAACAUUAAAAUUAUUUGGUCCUUCCAAUCACAUGCAAUAGAUAGUGUUUGUCAAUGACAGUGAAAAAAAACAUUGAUAACAACAUUACAUAAAACUAAAGCUGAAAGUUGAAAAUGUUAAAUGAACUACCUAUUACUUGAAACAUUAUUUUCAAGAUUCUUCGCAUGUUUCCUUGUACAUAUCAAAGGCAUCACUGAUAGUAUUUAUACCUGACCAUAUGGGGUACAGUUAAAUUUAAGGUUAAUGUAAUAGUAUAAAUAAUAUAAAAAAGGAUAAUGAUUGCCAAUGAAACAACUAUUCACGAAAGUUCAAAUGCAGUUAGAUGUUAAGCAAUUAUAAUAGGCCUACAUAAUUCAAGACUUGAAAGGUUUUCUUUUAAAACCUAAUGAAAAGUCUUGGUUUUCAUGUUGAGGCUGCACAUUUUCAUACAGAUAUGAUUCAAUACCAGGAUACAUGGACCCGGUGUGCUUUCUAUGCAAUUGUGGUAAUAAUAGUAUAGUAAGCAUGCUCUUGUAUCUUUAGGUGACAUGCUGGAUCUAAAGCUGGUAUUGUAUGAAUUAUCCGAUUUGAUAUGUCUCAGUAUUCUUACAUACAGAUUGGAUUUAUUGUUUCCACUCUAUUAAAUAUCUAGUUGGUUACUAAAUCAUGACUAUUUAUUUACAUAAAAACAUGUACUAUGUAAAAACUAAGAUUGAACAUAUUUUUGUCUUGAUUUCCUUAAUGAUUUGAAGUUUUUGAGGUAUUUUAAAAGUACCCAGAUGUUCUACGCAAAAUAAAUGUCUUGAAAAUUUUGGAAAUACAAUGUACUUUUUUAGAAAUGAAUAUUUGGCUGCCAUUUUGAAAAUGGUACUCAUUUAGUAAGUAAACUCUGCUAAAUUUAAACACUACUUUACUGUUCACCCUUUGUCUACUAUCCAUCUUGAGACAUGUUUUUUGUUCUCAACAUCUCUGCUUUUUCGUUACUUUUUUUUUAAUUUUUGGAUUGACAGAUAUUCUCUAAAAGAAGUAGUACUUCUAAAUGAUGCAUUAUUCAUGUCAGUCAUAUUGAAUCCCUAGUCCCAACUGUUUAUAAAUUAACCCAAACCCUGUCCCAACUGUCAAAAAUAUUUCAAGAAUCUAACAUUUACUUAACAUUAUAAUAAUGUCAUAGGUAUUACUUACACUGAUACUCAAAUUAAUAUAUAUAAAAAUGAAAGUUUAUAGAGAAUAUAUAUUUGUUCUGGUUCAUAAUGCGAUCAAUUGUCAAAUUUUUACAUAUUGUUUUGUAUCUCUGCUUGCAAUUUUAACUUGGCAGCACAGUUUUAACCUGCCUUCUUCCACUGAUUGGAAAGUUAUCUUGCCUUUAUUUAGAUAUACUGUUGCUAUAGAGACAAACCAUGAUUACAAAAGGGAGGUAAUUAAGAUUUGUACAUGUUAUCAAUUAUGUUAAUGCUAGGCCAUAACUGGCAUGUUGUGAAUUAUGUUAUAAAUGUAAACAAAUGUAAAUUAAUUUAGCUCUAAACACUUAAUAAAUUGUUUAUAAAGGUCAAAA
rnacentral:lncRNA from 1 species